UACGGUGGGGGCUAGCGUUGUCCGAAGUUACUGGGCGUAAAGCGCGCGUAGGCGGGUUGGUAAGUCCGCUGUGAAAGCCCGGAGCUCAACUCCGGAGGGUCGGUGGAUACUGCCAGUCUUGAAGGUGCUAGGGGGAGAUGGAAUUACCGGUGUAGCGGUGAAAUGCGUAGAGAUCCGGAGGAACCCCAGAGGCGAAGGCGGCCCCCUGGCUCGUACCUGACGCUCAGCCACGAAAGCAUGGGGAGCGAACGGG
rnacentral:rRNA from 1 species